AGUUAGUUUGACAGUGUAAAUAUUUUCAUGCAGUAACACUUACUGUAACAGUUCACAUUGACAUUUUUAUGACAAUACAAGUUCUCUUGAAAGUUUUGGAUUAUUUGCAGUUCGUUAGUCAUUUUGGGAUGGUGAUGUUAUUAUCAAGGUCGUGCUGAGGUAAAUGAGGUGAGGUAGAAGUAUGAGUCAUUUGACAGUUAUCCUCUUCACCGGCUUGGGCUAUCGGUCACGUCUCUGUUACGCACUGUUGGCAAUUACUGGGUAUGCACCAGCUCCUGAAUGUACCUGAACCCACUCCAGUGUUGGUCAAGUCUUGUCUUGAAAGAGCUUACACUCGGUGCCGUCACAACACUUUCUCGUAGAUUGUUCCAAGAGUUCACAACUUUCACUCCGAAAAGUUUGCCCUCACAGUUUUCUGGACCUAUGAGGAAAUAUCAGCUGGCCAAUUUCAGAGUGACUACAACUGGAACCAGAGUGACAGGUGCUGUGUUGUGGCAAGCUAUGAAUAAUGGAGUGUGGAGAGGCUGAUUCAAUUACCAUCAUUUCCAGGGUACACCACCGAUUUUCCGGGAACUGAUGGUCCGGCACCUCCUU